GUGGGGAAUAUUGGACAAUGGGCGAAAGCCUGAUCCAGCCAUGCCGCGUGUGUGAAGAAGGUCUUCGGAUUGUAAAGCACUUUAAGUUGGGAGGAAGGGCAGUAAGUUAAUACCUUGCUGUUUUGACGUUACCGACAGAAUAAGCACCGGCUAACUUCGUGCCAGCAGCCGCGGUAAUACGAAGGGUGCAAGCGUUAAUCGGAAUUACUGGGCGUAAAGCGCGCGUAGGUGGUUUUGUAAGUUGGAGGUGAAAUCCCCGGGCUCAACCUGGGAACUGCCUCCAAAACUGCAUGACUAGAGUACGGUAGAGGGUAGUGGAAUUGCCUGUGUAGCGGUGAAAUGCGUAGAUAUAGGAAGGAACACCAGUGGCGAAGGCGACUACCUGGACUGAUACUGACACUGAGGUGCGAAAGCGUGGGGAGCAAACAGGAUUAGAUACCCCAGUAGUCC
rnacentral:rRNA from 1 species